rnacentral:tRNA from 1 species
GCCCGGGUGGCGGAAUUGGCAGACGCGCUAGCUUGAGGGGCUAGUGAUCUCAGGAUCGUGCUGGUUCGAAUCCAGUCCCGGGCA